UUGAACGCUGGCGGCAGGCCUAACACAUGCAAGUCGAGCGGUAGCACAGAGAGCUUGCUCUCGGGUGACGAGCGGCGGACGGGUGAGUAAUGUCUGGGAAACUGCCUGAUGGAGGGGGAUAACUACUGGAAACGGUAGCUAAUACCGCAUAAUGUCGCAAGACCAAAGUGGGGGACCUUCGGGCCUCAUGCCAUCAGAUGUGCCCAGAUGGGAUUAGCUAGUAGGUGGGGUAACGGCUCACCUAGGCGACGAUCCCUAGCUGGUCUGAGAGGAUGACCAGCCACACUGGAACUGAGACACGGUCCAGACUCCUACGGGAGGCAGCAGUGGGGAAUAUUGCACAAUGGGCGCAAGCCUGAUGCAGCCAUGCCGCGUGUGUGAAGAAGGCCUUCGGGUUGUAAAGCACUUUCAGCGGGGAGGAAGGCGGUGAGGUUAAUAACCUCAUCGAUUGACGUUACCCGCAGAAGAAGCACCGGCUAACUCCGUGCCAGCAGCCGCGGUAAUACGGAGGGUGCAAGCGUUAAUCGGAAUUACUGGGCGUAAAGCGCACGCAGGCGGUCUGUCAAGUCGGAUGUGAAAUCCCCGGGCUCAACCUGGGAACUGCAUUCGAAACUGGCAGGCUAGAGUCUUGUAGAGGGGGGUAGAAUUCCAGGUGUAGCGGUGAAAUGCGUAGAGAUCUGGAGGAAUACCGGUGGCGAAGGCGGCCCCCUGGACAAAGACUGACGCUCAGGUGCGAAAGCGUGGGGAGCAAACAGGAUUAGAUACCCUGGUAGUCCACGCCGUAAACGAUGUCGAUUUGGAGGUUGUGCCCUUGAGGCGUGGCUUCCGGAGCUAACGCGUUAAAUCGACCGCCUGGGGAGUACGGCCGCAAGGUUAAAACUCAAAUGAAUUGACGGGGGCCCGCACAAGCGGUGGAGCAUGUGGUUUAAUUCGAUGCAACGCGAAGAACCUUACCUGGUCUUGACAUCCACAGAACUUUCCAGAGAUGGAUUGGUGCCUUCGGGAACUGUGAGACAGGUGCUGCAUGGCUGUCGUCAGCUCGUGUUGUGAAAUGUUGGGUUAAGUCCCGCAACGAGCGCAACCCUUAUCCUUUGUUGCCAGCGGUUAGGCCGGGAACUCAAAGGAGACUGCCAGUGAUAAACUGGAGGAAGGUGGGGAUGACGUCAAGUCAUCAUGGCCCUUACGACCAGGGCUACACACGUGCUACAAUGGCAUAUACAAAGAGAAGCGACCUCGCGAGAGCAAGCGGACCUCAUAAAGUAUGUCGUAGUCCGGAUUGGAGUCUGCAACUCGACUCCAUGAAGUCGGAAUCGCUAGUAAUCGUAGAUCAGAAUGCUACGGUGAAUACGUUCCCGGGCCUUGUACACACCGCCCGUCACACCAUGGGAGUGGGUUGCAAAAGAAGUAGGUAGCUUAACCUUCGGGAGGGCGCUUACCACUUUGUGAUUCAUGACUGGGGUG
rnacentral:rRNA from 1 species